rnacentral:rRNA from 1 species
UACGGGGGGGGCAAGCGUGGUUCGGAAUUACUGGGCGUAAAGGGCUCGUAGGCGGCCAACUAAGUCAGACGUGAAAUCCCCAGGCUCAACCUGGGAACUGCGUCUGAUACUGGAUGGCUUGAAUUCGGGAGAGGGAUGCAGAAUUCCAGGUGUAGCGGUGAAAUGCGUAGAUAUCUGGAGGAAUACCGGUGGCGAAGGCGGCAUCCUGGACCGACAUUGACGCUGAUGAGCGAAAGCUAGGGGAGCAAACGGG